UUUGGGUGUUCAAUUGCUCAUAGUUUUGUGUAAAUAGCUGUUGUAAUUGUAAAUUUUGUGUCAAUAGCUCAUCAAGCAAAUCAGUUAGCUGCUGUAGCCUGUAAAUAGCUUCUGUAAAUUACUAGAUUUUGUGAAAAUAGCUGUUGAUUGGUGUAAAUUUUUGUGUGCAUAGCUGCUGUAAAUAGUUGCUGUGAAUUGUGAUAGAGUGUGAUUUUGAAAGAGUAUUUUAAUUUUGUAAAAUAGUUGCUGGUGUAAAUAGUUAUGUUAGAUGUAAAUAAUGGCU
rnacentral:lncRNA from 1 species